rnacentral:rRNA from 1 species
AGAAUUUGAUCUUGGUCAGGAUGAACGCUGGCGGCGUGCCUAACACAUGCAAGUCGAGCGGAGAUAAGUUGAAGCCUAGCGAUUCUUAUCUUAGCGGCGGAUGGGUGAGUAACACGUGGGUAACCUGCCCUGUACUGGGGGAUAACAGCUGGAAACGGCUGUUAAUACCGCAUAUGCGCACGGAGCCGCAUGGCCCUGGGCGGAAAGAUUCAUCGGUACAGGAUGGGCCCGCGCCGGAUUAACUUGUUGGCGGGGUAACGGCCCACCAAGGUGAUGAUCCGUAGCCGACCUGAGAGGGUGACCGGCCACAUUGGGACUGAGACACGGCCCAAACUCCUACGGGAGGCAGCAGUGGGGGAUAUUGCACAAUGGGGGAAACCCUGAUGCAGCGACGCCGCGUGAAGGAAGAAGUAUUUCGGUAUGUAAACUUCUAUCAGCGGGGAAGAAGAUGACGGUACCCGCACAAGAAGCCCCGGCUAACUACGUGCCAGCAGCCGC